GGGGGCGUAAAGGUUUCGACGGGGAUUAAAAACCAAUGUAAGCGAGUAGAGUGGGCGAAAACUCUUUAAUCGUCGCAGUUUAUAAAUUAAACGCUAACAAUAAUAAAUUAGCUUACGCAGCUUAAGCCUGCGUCGUCUUCGUUGUGAAGGACCACGAGCAUAACAAGGCGUCAAAUUAGUGGUGAACGUGUUUCGAGAGUUACCUUGUAUCGAUUCAUGUAUUAAAGGUUACUGAAUCUACAAGCCUGCUAUUCGGCGUGUAGAAGAGGGAAUGUCAAAAGAAUCAGCUACACUCGUAGAAAGCGUUGGGGACGAGUUUUCGGACAGGGGUUCAACUCCCCUCGCCUCCACCA
rnacentral:tmRNA from 1 species